UCCAGACUCCUACGGGAGGCAGCAGUGAGGAAUAUUGGUCAAUGGGCGGGAGCCUGAACCAGCCAAGCCGCGUGAAGGAAGAAGGCGCCAGGCGUCGUAAACUUCUUUUGUCGGGGAGCAAAGGGCGCCACGCGUGGCGUUGUGAGUGUACCCGAAGAAAAAGCAUCGGCUAACUCCGUGCCAGCAGCCGCGGUAAUACGGAGGAUGCGAGCGUUAUCCGGAUUUAUUGGGUUUAAAGGGUGCGUAGGCUGUGAGGUAAGUCAGCGGUGAAAUGCCCCCGCUCAACGGGGUGAAGUGCCAUUGAUACUGCCUUGCUGGAAUGCGGAUGCCGUGGGAGGAAUGUGUGGUGUAGCGGUGAAAUGCAUAGAUAUCACGCAGAACUCCGAUUGCGAAGGCAGCAUACCGGCGCGCAACUGACGCUCAUGCACGAAAGCGUGGGUAUCGAACAGGAUUAGAUACCCCGGUAUCA
rnacentral:rRNA from 1 species